UAAGAUCACAAAACCAAAUCUAAUAAAUUUUUUCUUCCAUUAUGGCACUAAUGGGAUACAACCAACAAUAAUAUUUUCAUUGACAAAGUGGCAUCAUCAAAGAUGGAAUCCUCAAAAGCAAUAACAAAAAUUUACCUAUGCACAGCUAUCUCAAACAUAACAAAGAGAAUAUCUCACUAUUAAUCUCCAGUAUCUAGACAAAGAUUCCUCACGAAUGAACGAUUAAAUCUUGAUCUUAUGCAUUGUGUUGGGGAUCCUAGGAGUUCAAUCAACCAAAACAUCAAACAAUAGAAGAAAUUUUAAGGCAAAACAAUAAAAAAAGGGUGGAAAGAUACAACCUGUCUUUGGCCGAAUCUGGACAGCAGCUUCUUCUCCUCCUUCCCUUAUGGCAGAUUUAGACUCAGGAAUAGCCCUCCAUGACUUGCAAAUCACCUUCCGAGAGAGAGAGAGAGAAAAACCCGGCAAAGAACCCACCACCUUCAAGCUA
rnacentral:lncRNA from 1 species